AAGAACGUGGGAGCUGUCAGAGGGUAUCCUGCACGCCGCUACAUGCGUUACAUGGACGACCUAGACUGCCUCACUCAAAAUCAGAUCUUCUGGACACCGUACAGUAGAGCCGAGCUGGACGAGUUGGAACUGAGUGAUAUUUGCACACGCGAUGCCGAACUGUGGAGGACUUGCGUGCCUUUGAUUUUUUUCUUUGUAGUCGAGAUGCACUUGCCGCACUGUGUGAAGAGACAGUUCGGCAGAUUGCAAGACUUCCCUCCGGAGGGAAUUUCGACGUCCCAAGCUUUGCAUAGUAUUGACAGGAAGAAACGGUACACUGAGAAUGAUUGGCGUGUGAAACACGCACAGCCACUGGCACAGUGGGAACAA